UUUCCGAAUCCACAAUGUUGUUAUUACUUUUCACGAUCUUGUCAUCACUUUUCACAAUCUUGUCAGCAAAAGUUCUAAAGUUAGAAAUACCACACGAGCCCAAUUUUCUUGCCGAAAAACUGAAAAAAUUAGAUAAAUUUUGAAAAUAGAUAAAAUUAGAUAAAUUAGAAAAUUAGGAUACUGUAGUCUGCACCUUCAAGUGAAACGAGAAUAAUAUUCGCACGUAUGCUUUCCGAAUCCACAAUGUUGUUAUUACUUUUCACGAUCUUGUCAUCAUUUUUCACAAUCUUGUCAGCAAAAGCUCUAAAGUUAGAAAUACCUUACGAGCCAAAUUUUCCUGCCGAGAAACUGAAAAAAUUAGAGGAAUACAAACUUUUGCCGGAUUUAUUGUCCAGGCCACCACAUCUAGAAGCACAGAUAACAUUCCACGAUGGAUCAGUUGCAGACUUUGGCAAUGUAGUCUCGCAGCAACAGAUGCUGAAGGCACCAAAUAUCUCUUGGGCUGCAAAGGUAGACACUGAGCACACGGUGGUAAUCAUGGACUUAGAUCACCAUAUUGACGGGGUGAAAAAUACAUCGAAUGCAUCUGAAAUUCACUAUGCAUACUGGGUUAUAGGAAAUGUGCCGACUUCAUCGAUAGAGAAAGGUUAUGAAAUCGUACCGUACGAGGCUCCGCGAAUAGAUCACGCCGGGCAAAAAGAAUUGCAUAGAAUUUGCUUCCUGGUUUACUUUCAAUAUGAUGGUUCUCGAGACUUCUACACGCCCGACACGGUUGAGAAGCAGAAGGACUAUCGAAUGUGGUUUAACAUACAUAAUCUGACAGAUAAGUACAUAGUGAUAGGACCAAUUGCUAUGAAUUUUGUUCGAGCACCCGUACAAGUCCCAAAGCUCAAUGGACCGAUCAAAGAGACCUGGACUUGAGUUUUAGCACUUUCGAAAGCCGCACCUACGCGUGAUUUGGAUUUUCAUGCUAUGAAAGCAUUCACAGAAUAAUCCAAAUCUUGCUUCAAACAAUUGGAGCACCUCAUGUAAUGUUUAUGGCUUGCACACGUAUUGAAGGCGCUUUCUAUGAAGAGGAUCACUUAAAUCACAUCUUUGAAACUUGUCCACAGUCGAAAGCUAUCACUGCUUAUGACAGGCUGGUUUAUGAUUGAUCAAGUAAAUGAAUCCUAAAGACGUUUAAUGAGUAAGAAUGUAAUUCAAUUAAUGCGUGAAAUUCCUCUUUGCAAUCCUUCCUUCCUAAGCGCUGGUACUACUUACUCACUCUUCUGGCAAAGACUGACAGAUUUCACCCUCCAGAUCCUAAUCGUCUACUUUAAAAUUUUACAAUGAGGCUAGUAAUAACGCCGCUUAGACUUACCCAGGGAAUUCAUUGAGUUCCGAAAGCAACCUCUAUUUUUCGCACAACAGUUGCAAAUAUUUUCCGCGGAAGUUUUGAAUUUCUCCUCAAAAAGCGACUCGUGCGAGGUCUCAAAUCGAGGUGGCUCAUCAAAACUUACAACUUUCGGACUAGUCUGCGUAUUUACACUCUUCAAAUUUUUGAAAUCCUUCUCUCCGCCGGGAAUAUUCACGAGGCAUGUGAAAUCUUGUUUAGACUUCACGUUGUCUCCGAUUUUAUUCCGAUUCUUAAUUUCAGACUCGGAACUUAUAUCAUUUCUUAUCCUUUCUAUGUGAGGUCUGCGUUUCACCUCCCCUCUCUUUCCUUCGCAUGAUUCUAUCGCAAUCAUCGAAGGUUUGUUGUUAGUGAUUACACUGGCUGCUGAUUUUACAAAUCGCGAUUUUAAUCUCUCUAUUCCUCCAUUUCUCUGAGGAUCAGUAAUAUUAUUCAAAUUCUCAGAUGUAAGAUUUUUGGAACUUCGCUUGAUUUUAUGCUUUCGGCGUUUCCUGGUUAUCAGAUUCUCAGCAACUUUAAAAUUUUCAUCAUCCGGGGAAAUCCUCUUAAAAUUUUGGGCCCCAGAAACAUGUUUGAUGCGUUCCUUUUGGGACUUUUCACCGUCUUUAAGAGAUGACGUAAUAUUUUUUUUUCUCUCACUGGACUUAUAUUCCGGAGAGUCUUGAGGCUUCCGGUCCAAAUCACUUUUUACAACCGAUGAGUCAGAUCCGGAAUUUUCUUUCAAAAAUUCAGCUUUUACACCUGCUUCCCGUAACUUGGGCUUAGAUUCCGGAGAAACGUGGAGCUUCCGGCCGAAAUCACUUUUCACAACCGACGAGUCUGAUCCGGAAUUGGCUCUUUUCAAAAAUUCAGCUUUUAUACCUUCUCUCCGGUCCUUGGGCUUAGAUUCCGGAGAAACGUGGGGCUGCCGGUUCAAAUCACUUUUUACAACCGACGAGUCAGAUCCGGAAGUUUCAAUUUUCAAAAAAUCAGCUUUUGAACCUCCUCUCCUUUCUUUAUUUUUCGAUGAAUGCCCAACCUCUUUCCAAGAGCGAAAUUUUAACUGAGUAGAAUCCGAUUGCUUCCGGCUAAAGCUCUCAGAAGAUUGUUCAACAAGCAGGCCAGAUAUCGACUGAUGUGACUGCUCCUCAACAUUUUGGGACACUUGGUCAUGCGUUUGUGUUUGCUCAAGCUCACUAACAUUCUCGAUCGUUGCAUCCGAUACCUUAUGAUUUAUCGAUUUCAAUCGUUUGUCCAGCCGCUCGGAAUCUUGUUUUCGGUCAACGUCACUCAGAAUUUCGAACUCAGAUGAGUAAUCGUAAUUAGUGGCUGCUGAUGGCGAACCUUUUUUAUUCGCACCACGUUUAGGCUCCGAUUUGAUCUCAGACGCCGCCGAUAAGAUGCCGUCCGAAAGAGCGGUGGAUAUAUCCUCGGGGAUAUCACUCACCGGUGACAUUAACUCCUCGAUGAUAUCACUUUCUGUAUUGAAGCCAUUCAUUUUCGUCCCCUCUUUCGAGACAGAUCCGUUACUGUUGCUGAAAGCUUUAAUGUCACUAUUUAAAGACACCAGGGAGCUUUCUUUGCUUGAUUUGUCGCGGUGACCGUUCUGAAAAAAACUUGCCGCCGACGCAAUCUUAUCACCGCGUUUAUUUUUGCCUGAGGCUCCGGAGCCACUGCUAUCGUCAGGCAAGUCAUCGAGGGUUAUCAGGCGUAUAUUUCCCAAAACAUCGAAAGUGUUGGAUUGGUUUGUAUGGGGCCUAGGCUUUUUUAAUAUUUCGGUGAAGUCAACAUGGUUGAAAUUACCUGCGUUACCAUUCGACCGAUUUUCUGGCUGGUAUUUGAUUUUUGGUGUUUCUAUUUCUUCAAAAAAUUCAUUAUUUAUAAGAUUAUCCUCGUGACCGUUUACUACAACUGGCUCAAUUUCCGGUUUCAUCUUGCUAAAAUCGGGGUGUUUGGGCUCGAUUGCCUCAUUUUCUUCCUGAAGGAAUUUAACCACAUUGCCAUUUGUUUCACUUUCGACGUGUGAUUUUGCCUCGGGAAAUUUCGAAUCAUAAGAUAUUGAGUCAUCGGAAGUACUGCUAAUGCUUACGCUCUUUUGCUUAUUUUUUAUGUAUUUAUUUUCGAAGUCUUGGAGUUUUAAAUUGAUUCUGUUUAGCUUCAACAUGUUUAUCUACUUACAAUUUAGCCAAAAAUUAUUGUACCUUCACGAUGCGUUUAAAAAUGUUCGAUCUUUGAGGAGGAAUAUUAGGUACCAUUGAGUGUGGUUAGGAUUCUCCACAUAAACGCAUGUCUGUUAAUAUCCGCUGGCUGAGUUUCGCAGCCGACGAUUCUAAUCUGGAACAAUUAAAGCGUUAAGUUUGCAAGCUCGUA